AACAAACGCUGGCGGCGUGCCUAAUACAUGCCAGUCGAACGGGGAAAGCUUUCGGGUGAGUACUAGUGGCGCACGGGUGAGGAACGCGUGGAUAAUCUGCCUUAGAGUGGGGGAUAACUAGUCGAAAGAUUAGCUAAUACCGCAUAAGACCACGAGAGCUGCGGCUUUUGAGGUCAAAGGUUUUUCGCUCUAAGAUGAGUCCGCGUAAGAUUAGCUAGUUGGUGAGGUAACGGCUCACCAAGGCGACGAUCUUUAACUGGUCUGAGAGGAUGAUCAGUCACACUGGAACUGAGACACGGUCCAGACUCCUACGGGAGGCAGCAGUAGGGAAUAUUGCACAAUGGAGGAAACUCUGAUGCAGCGACGCCGCGUGAGUGAUGAAGGCCUUCGGGUCGUAAAGCUCUGUCGCAGGGGAAUAACACAAUGAAGGUACCCUGUAAGAAAGGAUCGGCUAACUUCGUG
rnacentral:rRNA from 1 species